GACGAAGGAUGCAAGCGUUAUCCGGAUUCAUUGGGUUUAAAGGGUGCGUAGGCGGACUUGUAAGUCAGUGGUGAAAUCUCUUUGCUUAACAAAGAAACUGCCAUUGAUACUGCUAGUCUAGAGUAUAGAUGACGUUGGCGGAAUAUGACAUGUAGUGGUGAAAUACUUAGAUAUGUCAUGGAACACCGAUUGCGAAGGCAGCUAACGAAACUAUAACUGACGCUGAGGCACGAAAGUGCGGGGAUCAAACAGG
rnacentral:rRNA from 1 species